rnacentral:rRNA from 1 species
CUAUGGGAGGCAGCAGUGGGGAAUAUUGGACAAUGGGCGGAAGCCUGAUCCAGCAACGCCGCGUGAGGGAUGACGGCCUUCGGGUUGUAAACCUCUUUCACCAUUGACGAAGCCGUAUGCAGUUUUGUGUGUGGUGACGGUAGGUGGGGAAGAAGCACCGGCCAACUACGUGCCAGCAGCCGCGGUAAUACGUAGGGUGCGAGCGUUGUCCGGAAUUAUUGGGCGUAAAGGGCUCGUAGGCGGUUUGUCGCGUCGGGAGUGAAAGCCCUGGGCUUAACCCAGGGUCUGCUUUCGAUACGGGCAGACUAGAGGUAUGCAGGGGAGAACGGAAUUCCUGGUGUAGCGGUGAAAUGCGCAGAUAUCAGGGGGAACACCGGUGGCGAAGGCGGUUCUCUGGGCAUGAUCUGACGCUGAGGAGCGAAAGUGUGGGGAGCGAACAGGAUUAGAAACCCGUGUAGUCC